rnacentral:lncRNA from 1 species
AUACCAAGAUGACAACGCCGCGGUGGGCUCGGCUCUUCACCAAGUUCCAGUGAACCCGUUAAAACUAGUGUGAAAUUUGAUGUUGCCUCAUGUCAAGGUACCAUCAGGAAUGAAGGACACAGGAGAUUGCUCUAGAGAAAAUGAGCAAUAUUCGUCGUUGAUCGUUGUAGCCACUCUCGGUGGAGUUAACCGAUGCAUGUGUUUCCGGUCCGACAAGUUCGGGGGCCUCUACUUCAUGUGCCUCUUCGUGGCCUUCUUCGGCACUAUAAUCAAUGGACGGCACCGGGAGUUUGUUAAAGCCGACAGUAUCGACGCGCCCGUCAUUCUCUUGUAGUAAGCUUCAAUAGGGGGACGUUCAUGGCUGCUCAUCUGCCAGUGUAUAUAGUAGUUAAGCAUAUUGCGAUGUUUUAUUACGUAGAAUACAACUUCUUUACUAUAUUCUCGGUAUUCGUCAUCAUUAUUUGCUCCACAACAACUAGCGAAAUGUUUGGGGAGUGUUCUCCGGAAUGGGAGGGACAGGGAAGGUCUUACUAGUUCCUCCAAGUGUUUCCUGGUGGUACUCUCCGUUCAGCCGAUUUCUUAGUUGGUGAUCUUUGUCCUCUUCGUUCUCCUGAUCCAAAAUAUCACAAGAUACCGGAUCUGCACAACAUAAGCACAUUUUCGUGCAUGCGAUGACAUCGACAGCUGCAAUUAUGCAAGAACCUCUUAUAUUUGCACGAGUAUUUUUUAUGUUUAAUGUCAAUCAGGAAGCCACGAGCAACUGGGCUGUUAUAGACGAAAUUACUGGUUCAAAAUGCUCCCCUGAUUCUGUUCAACUGUACUCUGCAGGAGACGAUAAUGGUAGUAAGAUAGAUAAGAGUAGUGGUGAUAAGAGUAGUAACAACUGAGGAAGUAACAACUGAUUACAUAGUAAUAUUUGUUCAUUGCAUUACAAUACGUUUACAUACAUUUUACAUUUCAUUAUAGUUUUCCAGCAUUACAGUUAUACAGCACUAAGUAUUACAGCAUCACAACAUAACAACGUUACAGCGCUUAGUAGGACACACACAGGUGUGACAAGUAAAGGUAAUGCAAAUUUACAAGAAAUUAACAGCAACAAAAAUAAAUUAAAGUACACCUCACGACGAUAGAAUAAGAGACACAGGCAAUUACAAGUGAUACAGCAGAGUUUAAAAACUCUCAGCACUGGGCGAAUCACAAAAAUUAAAGUUUAAAAAAAAUUAAGUUUUCGAAAUUUACAAGAGUUGAGAAUUACCGAGAAUUACAAAAUACAAGGGUUGAGUACAAAUUGUUUAGGAGGAAGCAAAAAUAAAAGUCAGGAGCUGAAAUUGAAUGUCUCGAAAGCACUUCGUUAUCUAGUUGUAAAAUUGCGAAGCUUGCCCGAGCUAAAGGGUCGGGGAGAGGCUUUUUUACAGGGAGACAAACUAGGUGGGUACGACUCCGGGGGUACCAAGCCGAAGGACCAGUAAGUCUAUGCAAGUGCAAAAAAAAAAGGUGGAGUUCACUAUGUGAACAGAGGUAGCAUGCCCAAGAUUACCCCAUUGAUGUGGUAUUUCUGUACCACGGAAUGGCUUAAUUAUUCGCUCGCCACAGUGCUGGUAGAAGAGCCUCUCCCGUCGGUGGAACUAUAUUCUGCGAAGAUAUUAUUUUUACUAUCAGGUGUAAAGUAUGGGUGAAGUGAUACGCUCACCAUAUAAUGCUGUCGUAGCGGCGCUGCCUCUCUCUUCCUAUCUUGCUGUCAGAAUCUGACUCUCGAUUCCGAUCUGAUUCCGAUUGCGUGUCCGUGUCGAGAUGCUCAUCAUACUGUUGCUUUUUCGUGGAAAUCCACCAGCGUGCCUCCCUUAUGUCUUCAAUAAUUGAGGUUCUUGGAGCGCAUAGUUGGCAAAUAAGUUUCUCCGAGCUGCUGAUUUCCGUCACAGCAAGGGUUGCUAAAAUAUUUAAACAUCCUUUGAAGAAUCUAGGAACACCUUUCACCAACUGAGAUUACCGUUAUUUGCUGAAUAUCCAGUCGUGUCACAACCAGACAAAGCAUGCAUCUCUGGUAAAGCAGAUGCCUUUAAUGGUCCUACAACAUCGUGAAUGGGCUUCAAAGCAACAUAUCUUUUCAUGCCACUACCAAGGUAUAUGCCUGUGUCUGAAGGAAGGACUGGUAUAUAGUUUACACUAAAUAAUUUACACAAUGCAUGAACGUAUUAGGAAACUUAGGAAAGAAAAUGAAGACACGAAAACACUGAGGAAGUCAGGAGGAACGAGGUCAGCUCAUAAAACGAAAUACAUUACUUACACUUAUCACCUUACCUUACAUACUAAAUACUGCCGUAGAUUUUACUAGCUACAGAUAUUUACUACAAAAUUGCACUAAUACUAAAGUUAUACUUAUCAACUAAAAACAUUCACGACUAUUUGUGACCUAUAUGUUGGGGGAGAACCAGGACUGGUUGAUGGCUGUCUAUUCAAGGUUUUUGUUGCACUUCACACUGAGAACGUUCUUAAAUUACUGAAUAACACUUAACUUUCACUCUGUCAUUUCAUUCACUGAGUUCAAAAAAACAAAACACUAUUAAAUUCACAACACUUAACUUUCACUUUGUCAUUUAAUUCACUGAGUCCAAAAAAAAAAAAAAAAAAAAAAAAACUAAAACUAUUGAAGUCACUGUAAUCAUAUAAAAUCUAUUGCACUGCAUUGAUAUCACUUACUAAACUGAACUAGACGCAAGUACUUCAAUUGCACCAUACCUUAAUUAAUAUUAGGCUUAAUUUUAAUUUAAAACAAUUUUUUUAGAUGAUGAUUACUACAAAAAGCUAAAUUAAACUAAAAAAUAAGGACAAAAUAAAGUCAAUAAUUUUUGUUCAAAAAAAAUUAACAAUAUAAACCAAAUGGCUAACUAAUACAUAUACCUGCACUGUUAAAAUAAAGACCGAACUAUUAGACAAAAAUAAACACUUUUAAAUAUUUUUCAAUCACAUCAUGUCACUUGCACUCACUUCACUGUCACUCACAUUUUGAACUAUUUCAUCACAGAAAGAAAAAUUAUCAUUACAGUGCCAUUAACAGCUCUUCCCGAUUUUCACUUUCACUGGCAUGAGCAUCAACUUCGUUUUCUUUAUUGCUAAUAUCUGAUAGAGCCUUCCUGCUCACAUUCACCUGUGUUUCACUUCCAAUCACUUUUUUUAUUGACACUCCCUACCGGGGCACUUGCAUCUGACACGAUAAUCACUUUUUCACCACUUUUCUUGGUUUUACUUUGUUUGCUACGUGGCUGGCCUUCAAGUUUACUUUCACUUAUCUGCAAAC